rnacentral:tRNA from 1 species
AUUAAAGUGGCAGAAUAAUAUGCAUUAGAUUUAAAACCUAAAGAUGAGUAAAAUACUCUUUUAAUA